rnacentral:rRNA from 1 species
GAUGAACGCUGGCGGCGUGCCUAACACAUGCAAGUCGUACGAGCUCGAUCUUCGGAACGGGUUAGUGGCGCACGGGUGAGUAACACGUAGGUGACCUACCCCAGAGUGGGGGAUAACUUCUCGAAAGAGAGGCUAAUACCGCAUACACUCGGUCAUUCAUUUGGCCGAGCAAAGCUCCGGCGCUUUGGGACGGGCCUGCGUCCGAUUAGCUAGUUGGUAGGGUAAUGGCUUACCAAGGCUUUGAUCGGUAGCUGGUCUGAGAGGACGAUCAGCCACACUGGCACUGACACACGGGCCAGACUCCUACGGGAGGCAGCAGUGAGGAAUAUUGGGCAAUGGGCGAAAGCCUGACCCAGCAACGCCGCGUGGAGGGAUGAAGGCC